AAAAAAAUAAUUACUGAUCUUCCUGACAGAGAUGGUGAAGGGGGAGGUAAAAGAAUUUUUCUUAUGUUUGUUUUAUAAAAAUUUGCUUCAUUCUACAGCAAUCAGUAACUAAAACAUGGCAUGCUUUGGGCGGUGCUUUCUGCUGCUUCCUCUGAAAGGGAAAAUUAUGUAACAUAAAGAGCAAACGGUAAUAGACCUCGGACCUGCUGAGGACACUGGAGUCAUUCAUUCCAAGCCCUUGGGACCGGCAUCGCAAGCAGCCAGUGCUCAGUGAACACAACCAAAUUUCCUACUUAGGAAAUCCUUUAAAUUUCCCUAGUGGAAGGUAAAGAUUCUUACCUCCAAACACGAUUACCAGAGUGUGAGCUCCAGGAUCCACACCGUGGAAGGAGAGAGCCAGCUCCUGUGAGUUGUCUUCUGACCUCCACACUCAAACCACGGCAGCCUCUGUGUUCUUGGAUCACGAAGAGUUGCAUCUUAUGAAGCAGAGGAACCAGUGCCCGAGAGGAGACUCUGGACAUGAUGGACAUCCAACGAUUAGAAGAAAUUAAUAAAAAGGAAGGUGUCACCAUGCUUCUCCUAAGAAUAAUAGUGGCUUUGAGUGUCUCCAAGGGAUGAGUGGGAUGGGAUCAACUCAACACACAGUAGGGCAACAUAGGAUUUGCAGCUGCAGCGGAAGAGUUAAGUAAAUCAGGGUCACAAGUUUGGCUGCAUUUCCAACUUGGUCUGGCUGGCCAUGUGAUUGCGAUGCAUAAUGCAUCAGCUGGACAAUGAGAUCUAUUCACUAAUCCAAGCUAGCCCUGAGUUCCCUGCAAGAGAACUGGGACUCUUCUCACAGCGGCGCUGACUCUGAGGAGAAAGACAACCCUUUUAAAUCAGUGUUUGCAAAGCCUGUGGGUGGACAGUUUUGUUUUCUGUUCUUUUUUUUUUUCUAAAAAAUAAAACAAACUAUCUUUUUUCAUUUUACACACCAAUCCCAGUUCCCACUCCCUCCCCUCCUCCAAUUUUUUUCCACCUUCCCCUCCACUGCACCCCCAUCCACUCCUCAGAGAGGGUAAGGCACAUUGCUUUGGGGAAGGUCCAAGGCCCUCCCUACUAUAUCUAGGCUGAACAAGGUAUUCAUUCAAAGAGAAUAGGUUCCCCAAAAGCCAGUACAUGUAGUAGGGAUAAAUCCUGGUGCCACUGCCAUUGGCCCUGUAAUCUGCCCCAAACAAUACAACUGUU